rnacentral:rRNA from 1 species
GGACGAACGCUGGCGGCGUGCUUCAUACAUGCAAGUCGAACGAGAAUCUGACUUCGGUCAGAGGAAAGUGGCGGACGGGUGAGUAAUAUGUAGGAAAUCUGCCUUUAGGAGGGGGACAACAGAGGGAAACUUCUGCUAAUACCCCAUAUGAGCUAAGUUGAAAUACUUAUCUUGAAAACUCCGGUGCCUAAAGAUGAGCCUGCAUCUGAUUAGCUUGUUGGUGGUGUAAUGGACUACCAAGGCGACGAUCAGUAGCUGGUUUGAGAGGAUGAUCAGCCACAAUGGGACUGAGACACGGCCCAUACUCCUACGGGAGGCAGCAGUAGGGAAUUUUGCGCAAUGGGCAAAAGCCUGACGCAGCAACGCCGCGUGAACGAUUAAGCCCUUCGGGGUGUAAAAUUCUGUCAGUGGGGACGAAACUUGACGGUACCCACAGAGGAAGCACCGGCUAACUCCGUG